rnacentral:rRNA from 1 species
UACGUAGGGUGCAAGCGUUGUCCGGAAUUAUUGGGCGUAAAGAGCUCGUAGGCGGUUCGUCGCGUCGGCUGUGAAAUCCCGAGGCUCAACCUCGGGUCUGCAGUCGAUACGGGCGGACUGGAGUUCGGCAGGGGAGACUGGAAUUCCUGGUGUAGCGGUGAAAUGCGCAGAUAUCAGGAGGAACACCGGUGGCGAAGGCGGGUCUCUGGCCGAUACUGACGCUGGAGGAGCGAAAGCGUGGGAGCGAACAGG